rnacentral:rRNA from 1 species
AUGGAACGCUGGCGGCAGGCUUAACACAUGCAAGUCGAACGAGUGGCGGACGGGUGAGUAAUGCUUGGGAAUCUAGCUUAUGGAGGGGGAUAACUACGGGAAACUGUAGCUAAUACCUCGUACCAUAGGAUGAGCCCAAGUGGGAUUCGGUAGUUGGUGAGGUAAAGGCUAACCAAGCCGACUAUCUCUAGCUGGUCUGCGAGGAUGCCCAGCAACACUGGUACUAGGACACGGCCCAGACUCCUACGGGAGGCAGCAGUGGUGAAUAUUGCGCAAUGGGGGCAACCUGACGCAGCCAUGCCGCGUGAAUGAAGAAGGCCUUCGGGUGGUAAAGUUCUUUCUGUAGCGAGGCGUUAACUACAGAAGAAGCACCGGCUAACUCCGUGCCAGCAGCCGCGGUAAUAC